rnacentral:lncRNA from 1 species
AUUUGAAAUAGUUAAGAUACACAAGAGUUUGCAAAUAUGGUACAGAGGGGAGGACUGUUGAGGUAGCCUUUACCCAGUCCCCUCCUUCCCUCCUGGUUACAUGAUUUUAGUACAAUGUCAAAACCAGCCAUUUGAUGUUGAUACACUGAUAGGUGCUAUUUUCCAAGCUGAUGAUGAAGCUUGGAAAUGGACAAAAAUCUCUGUCCAGUCUUUAUGGGAUUUGUUUUCUAAAUGUGACCAGGUGUGGUGGUAUUCUUCUGUAAUCCUAGCAGCUCAGGAGGCUGAAGUGGGGAUGAUCACAAUUUCAAAAUCAGCCUCAGCAAUUUAUCGAGGCCCCAAGCAACUCAGCAAUACCUUGUCUCUAAAUAAAAUACCGAAAAAGGGGCUAGGGAUGUGCCCCUGUUAGAUUGUGACAAAUACCUUAGGAAAAUAAGGAAAGGGGGCUUAGGUUUGUGAGGGUAUGUGUGUUUUCCAACAUGUCUUACCCCGCUUCUGGGGAUUGAAUCCAAUAGUGCUUUUACCACUGAGCCAUAACUCCCAGGCCUUUUUAAAAAUAUUUAUUUUGAGAUAGUGUUGCUAAGUUGACAAGGCUGGCUCAGAUUAUAGGUGUGCACCAUACCCUGGGUUGCUGAAGGGUUUUAAGCGGAGAAUCGACAAUGUGAUUUGUAUGUUAGCAGGAUUCAUUGGACAUUCUUGGGGAACAGAUGAAAGGGAGUAAGGGUGGUAGCAGAGACCCCAGUCAGGAGCUCAUUCAACCAAGGUGGUAAAAAAUGGUUGGAUUCUAGAUAAUCUUUGAAGGUAGUAUGGACAAACAUUCCAUUUCAGUUCAUAGGGAGUUCCCCAUUUCUCUUUUUGACAGAUGCCUAGAAUUUAAUUAUAUAAUAAUUUAAGAAACCAGUCCCUGGCCUGUGGAUAUUUAGGUUGAUUAUCUUUUACU